rnacentral:rRNA from 1 species
UACGUAGGCAGCGAGCGUUGUUCGGAGUUACUGGGCGUAAAGGGUGUGUAGGCGGUUGCUUAAGUUUGGUGUGAAAUCUCCCGGCUCAACUGGGAGGGUGCGCCGAAUACUGAGUGACUCGAGUGCGGGAGAGGAGAGUGGAAUUCCUGGUGUAGCGGUGAAAUGCGUAGAUAUCAGGAGGAACACCUGUGGUGUAGACAGCUUACUGGACCACUUCUGACGCUGAGACACGAAAGCGUGGGUAGCAAACAGG